ACGAACGCUGGCGGCGUGCUUAACACAUGCAAGUCGAGCGGAAAGGCCCUUCGGGGUACUCGAGCGGCGAACGGGUGAGUAACACGUGGGCAACCUGCCCCUAGCUCUGGGAUAACUCCGGGAAACCGGGGCUAAUACCGGAUACGAUCUUCCACGGCAUCUCGGAAGAUGGAAAGUUUUUCGGCUAGGGAUGGGCCCGCGGCCUAUCAGCUUGUUGGUGAGGUAACGGCCCACCAAGGCGACGACGGGUAGCCGGCCUGAGAGGGCGACCGGCCACACUGGGACUGAGACACGGCCCAGACUCCUACGGGAGGCAGCAGUGGGGAAUAUUGCGCAAUGGGCGAAAGCCUGACGCAGCGACGCCGCGUGAGGGAUGAAGGCCUUCGGGUUGUAAACCUCUUUCAGCAGGGACGAAGCGAGAGUGACGGUACCUGCAGAAGAAGCACCGGCCAACUACGU
rnacentral:rRNA from 1 species